GCCCCCUAGAGGUAUUGCAGGUUUGGCUAUGAUGUCCCAUGUGAAUCAGUAGGUGGAAGAGAGGAGACAGGUUAUGUAUAUGCUCAGUGUCCUGACAUAUGAAUGUCUGAAUGGUUAUUAGCCUAACAUU